GUCGUAAACAUGCGGGCCCCUUGCCAGCACUGUGGAUGCCCGUCACCAUGGAAACCAGGAACACUCAAGCACACUCCUGUCCCAUCUCUUCCCAGCAGCAGGCAGCUGGAUUUACCAAUGGGGGUUCCAAGGAACGGGGUGACGGACUCUGGGAACGUGAAGAGGGAAGCGCUGGCCUGAGGGAACGUCUUGGAAUCCUAAUGCUGGCCUCACACUUCAAGUAACUGUGAAGAGCUCGGGCAUGUUUAGACCAGAAGUUUCAUCAAGACAGAAGUGGAAAAUCCAGGUCUGAUCCUCGUGAGGGCGAAGGCUGGAUGGGAGUCGCUACCCGACAGGUGGUACCAACCCUGCUGGGUUUCUGAACAGCGGUGCGUCCCGCUCGGGGCCGUGCCACCCGGCGGCUGUAAGAGGCAGGAUGGACAGAGUCUGGCAACCCCGAAUGAGUGCAGGUAGCAAGUGAAAAAAUAAAAAGGAGACACUGUAAACAAAUCAUAUAUAUUUACACAGAGAGAGAGGGAGAGAGAGACCAAGAGGUUAUUUGUUUCUCUACGAUGGGUUCUCACCCUCAUUGAGUUUUCUACAGAGAAAGGCAUGAUAGUAGCUGUGCUUACGGUGGAGCAAGCAAGCGGGUCAUACCGGAAGCGGCAGCUGUGCAGAGCCGGGUCAGCACCCGUCCCUGGGAGCCCUGCUCAGAAUCGGAGCAAACCACGAGACAUGCAUCCCACCAAAAUGAUCCAUCUUAUUAAGGUUCCCUUUCAUCACCUUACAUCAAUUAAAACAAAUUUUAUUCCAAA